rnacentral:rRNA from 1 species
UACGGGGGGGGCAAGCGUUGUUCGGAAUUAUUGGGCGUAAAGGGCUCGUAGGCGGCCAACUAAGUCAGAUGUGAAAUCCCCAGGCUCAACCUGGGAACUGCGUCUGAUACUGGUUGGCUUGAAUCCGGGAGAGGGAUGCAGAAUUCCAGGUGUAGCGGUGAAAUGCGUAGAUAUCUGGAGGAAUACCGGUGGCGAAGGCGGCAUCCUGGACCGGCAUUGACGCUGAGGAGCGAAAGCUAGGGGAGCAAACGGG